rnacentral:rRNA from 1 species
UACGGAGGGGGCUAGCGUUGUUCGGAAUUACUGGGCGCAAAGCGCACGUAGGCGGCUUUGUAAGUUAGAGGUGAAAGCCCAGAGCUCAACUCUGGAAUUGCCUUUAAGACUGCGUCGCUGGAACGUCGGAGAGGUGAGUGGAAUUCCGAGUGUAGAGGUGAAAUUCGUAGAUAUUCGGAAGAACACCAGUGGCGAAGGCGACUCACUGGACGACUGUUGACGCUGAGGUGCGAAAGCGUGGGUAGCGAACAGG